CAUGCUUGUUGAUAUUUAGGAACGCAAUAAGGAAUUGGUCCACAAGCGCACGGAUAUCAGUGAGCACUUCACCUGGGAGGUUAUCCAGAGUAUCGUAUUUAUAUUUUUACCACUAGGAGAAAGAGUGCAUCUGACUAACACGGAUAUCGAUGUGAGCGAUGUAUAGAGAAGACUACAACUGUAAUCUCUUUCUAACCUUGGUAAGGAUAAUCUACUGUUCUAUUGGGGAGGCCCACGAAAUCUAGACACCACAGAGGAUGUUCAACCCGCACCUAUAAACCCUAUCGAUCCUACUAACGGGAUAUGGUCUGC
rnacentral:lncRNA from 1 species